rnacentral:rRNA from 1 species
GUUGAACGCUGGCGGCGUGCCUAAUACAUGCAAGUCGAGCGAACAGACGAGGAUCUUGCUUCUCUGACGUUACCGGCGGACGGGUGAUUAACACGAGGAUAACCUGCCUAUAAGACUAGGAUAACUUCGGGAAACCUGAUCUCAUACCGGACAAGAUAUUGAACCGGAGGGUUCAAUAGAGCAAGACGGAUUUGCUGUCCCUUAGUCAUGUUAGCGAGCCGGAUUAGCUAGUUGGUAAGGUAACGGCUUACCAAGGCUACGAUGCGUAGCCGACCUGAGAGGGUGAUCAGCCACACUGGAACUGAGACACGGUCCAGACUCCUACGGGAGGCAGCAGUGGGGAAUAUUGCGCAAUGGGCGAAAGCCUGACGGAGCAAUGCCGCGUGAGUGAUGAAGGUCUUCGGAUCGUAAAACUCUGUUAUUAGGGAAGAACAAAUGUGUAAGUAACUAUGCACGUCUUGACGGUACCUAAUCAGAAAGCCACGGCUAACUACGUG